ACAUAUCAGUAUGAACUAGUUCUAGUGGGGCUACACUAUAGACUGAACUACUGGCAAACUGUACUCUCCUCCACUUUCUCAUCUAGCAUGGAUCAUAUACCUUUGAGAUCCCUUCAUCUAGAUCUGCAAUCAGACCAUGCUUACUCAGCUCCUUCAUUCCACGAUCUCCCAAUGGCCUAGGCGAUAGUGUCACAACCGGUGAGUCCCCUGCUAGUCCUACGCUGCUACUGCUC
rnacentral:lncRNA from 1 species